rnacentral:rRNA from 1 species
AGAGUUUGAUCCUGGCUCAGGAUGAACGCUGGCGGUAUGCUUAACACAUGCAAGUCGAACGAGAGUUUUUUUACUCUAGUGGCGAACGGGUGCGUAAUACGUGAGAAUCUGCCCUUAGGAGGAGAAUAACUUCUGGAAACGGUUGCUAAGUCUCCAUAUGCCGAGAGGUGAAACAGUUUUACUGCCUAAGGAUGAGCUCGCGCCUGAUUAGCUUGUUGGUAAGGUAAUGGCUUACCAAGGCCACGAUCAGUAGCUGGUUUGAGAGAACGAUCAGCCACACUGGGACUGAGACACGGCCCAGACUCCUCCGGGAGGCAGCAGUGAGGAAUUUUCCGCAAUGGGCUAAAGCCUGACGGAGCAAUACCGCGUGAGGGAUGAAGGAUUUUGGUCUGUAAACCUCUUUUCUCAAGAAAGAAGUUCUGACGGUACUUGAGGAAUAAGCAUCGGCUAACUCCGUGCCAGCAGCCGCGGUAAUACGGGGGAUGCAAGCGUUAUCCGGAAUCAUUGGGCGUAAAGCGCCUGUAGGUGGUUUACUAAGUCUGUUGUUAAAGACUAGGGCUUAACCCUAGGAAAGCAAUGGAAACUAAUAGACUUGAGUAUGAUAGGGGUAGAGGGAAUUUCUAGUGUAGCGGUGAAAUGCGUAGAUAUUAGAAAGAACACCGGUGGCGAAGGCGCUCUACUGGAUCAUUACUGACACUCAGAGGCGAAAGCUAAGGUAGCAAAAGGGAUUAGAUACCCCUGUAGUCUUAGCCGUAAACGAUGGAUACUAGAUGUUGUGUUUUUAUGCGGUAUCGUAGCUAACGCGUUAAGUAUCCCGCCUGGGGAGUACGCUCGCAAGGGUGAAACUCAAAGGAAUUGACGGGGGCCCGCACAAGCGGUGGAGCAUGUGGUUUAAUUCGAUGCAACGCGAAGAACCUUACCAAGGUUUGACAUACUACAAAUUUUUGUGAAAGCAAAAAGUGCCUUCGGGAAUGUAGAUACAGGUGGUGCAUGGCUGUCGUCAGCUCGUG